rnacentral:lncRNA from 1 species
AGACCUCAGUAUCCCCACCAGGGGUUGCAGUAGUCUACAUUAAUACAUGUCUGGAGAGGAGGUUCUGGUUCAGUUUCCUCUGAAGAGAAUCUGGUUUGUAUGUACCAGGGACAUUCUAUAGACUGGACCAGUGCAUGGUAGUUUGGAUUCAUGAACUGUAUGAUCAUCAAACUUCUCCAGUGAUCUCCUACCUUUACCGAUAUGCUCUGUCUCAUUUUGCCCUGCAAUAGAGAGGCUGUGACAGACAUCUCACUCAGAACAGCGUCAAAGAGCCCCGAAAGGCUUUAUUCCCUGGCUUCUUGCUCUGACAGUUGAUUCCAGGAACUGCAGGGAUCCCUGUGAAUUCGUAGAUGAGAUUUGUUAUGCCAUGAAGUGUGAGUGUUUUGAAGCAAAACUGGUGAGUGGGCAGAUUUUGUCAAUAGUGCUGUGCUGAGAGUAGAAGAAGACCAUGUUCCAGAAUCUUGUCUGCAGAUUGAAAAUGGACAUAAAAACAA